rnacentral:rRNA from 1 species
UACGUAGGGUGCGAGCGUUGUCCGGAAUUACUGGGCGUAAAGGGCUCGUAGGCGGUUUGUCGCGUCGGGAGUGAAAACACGGGGCUUAACCCCGUGCCUGCUUCCGAUACGGGCAGACUAGAGGUAUGCAGGGGAGAACGGAAUUCCUGGUGUAGCGGUGAAAUGCGCAGAUAUCAGGAGGAACACCGGUGGCGAAGGCGGGUCUCUGGGCCGAUACUGACGCUGAGGAGCGAAAGCGUGGGGAGCGAACAGG